rnacentral:rRNA from 1 species
AUUGAACGCUGGCGGCAUGCCUUACACAUGCAAGUCGAACGGUAACAGGUCUUCGGAUGCUAACGAGUGGCGAACGGGUGAGUAAUACAUCGGAACGUGCCUAGUAGUGGGGGAUAACUACUCGAAAGAGUGGCUAAUACCGCAUGAGAUCUACGGAUGAAAGCAGGGGAUCGCAAGACCUUGUGCUACUAGAGCGGCCGAUGGCAGAUUAGGUAGGUGGUGGGAUAAAAGCUUCCCAAGCCGACGAUCUGUAGCUGGUCUGAGAGGACGAUCAGCCACACUGGGACGGAGAACGGGCCCAGACUCCUACGGGAGGCAGCAGUGGGGAAUUUUGGACAAUGGGCGAAAGCCUGAUCCAGCAAUGCCGCGUGCAGGAUGAAGGCCUUCGGGUUGCAAACUGCUUUUGUACGGAACGAAAAGCCCCGGGUUAAUACCCUGGGGUCAUGACGGUACCGUAAGAAUAAGCACCGGCUAACUACGUGCCAGCAGCCGCGGUAA